rnacentral:rRNA from 1 species
GGAUUAGAUACCCUGGUAGUCCACGCCGUAAACGAUGCAUACUAGGUGUUGGCCUUUCGGGGCCAGUGCUGCAGUUAACGCAUUAAGUAUGCCACCUGGGGAGUACGUCGGCAACGAUGAAACUCAAAGGAAUUGACGGGGGCCCGCACAAGCGGUGGAGCAUGUGGCUUAAUUCGAUGCAACGCGAGGAACCUUACCUGGGCUAAAUCCACAGCGCUAUCUCUGGAAACAGAGAGUUCCUUCGGGACGCUAUGGAAGGUGCUGCAUGGCUGUCGUCAGCUCGUGCCG